rnacentral:rRNA from 1 species
UACGGAGGGUGCGAGCGUUGUCCGGAAUCCCUGGGCGUAAAGGGUGCGUAGGUGGCAUGGCCAGUUUGAUGUGAAAGCUCAGGGCUUAACCCUGAAAUGGCAUUGAAUACUGCUGUGCUGGAGGUUUGGAGGGGGGACUGGAAUUCUUGGUGUAGCAGUGAAAUGCGUAGAUAUCAAGAGGAACACCAGUGGCGAAGGCGAGUCCCUGGACAACACCUGACACUGAGGCACGAAAGCCGGGGGAGCAAACAGG